rnacentral:rRNA from 1 species
ACACGUGGGUAAUCUACCCCAAAGACUGGGACAACAGUUAGAAAUGACUGCUAAUACCGGAUAAUUCAUAUUUAGAUAACUAGAUAUGCAAAAGGAGCUUUACAGCUUCACUUUGGGAUGAGCUUGCGGCGUAUUAGUUAGUUGGUGGGGUAAUGGCCUGCCAAGGCAAUGAUGCGUAUCCGGGCUGAGAGGCUGAACGGACACAUUGGGACUGAGACACGGCCCAAACUCCUACGGGAGACAGCAGUUAGGAAUAUUCGUCAAUGGGGGAAACCCUGAACGAGCAAUGCCGCGUGAGUGAUGAAGGUCUUAUUGAUCGUAAAACUCUGUUAUAAGAGACGAAACCACAGUAUAGGAAAUGAUAUUGUGCUGACGGUAUCUUAUCAGAAAGCCCCGGCUAACUACGUGCCAGCAGCCGCGGUAAUACGUAGGGGGCGAGCGUUAUCCGGAUUUAUUGGGUGUAAAGGGUGCGUAGGCGGCUUGUUAAGUCUAAAAUCAAAGUCCGAGGCUCAACCUCGGUUCGUUUUAGAAACUGGCAGACUUGAGUAUGGUAGAGGCAAGUGGAAUUUCUAGUGUAGCGGUUAAAUGCGUAGAUAUUAGAAGGAACACCAGUGGCGAAGGCGUCUUGCUGGGCCAUUACUGACGCUGAGGCACGAAAGCGUGGGGAGCAAAUAGGAUUAGAUACCCUAGUAGUCCACGCUGUAAACGAUGAUUACUAAGUGUCG